rnacentral:rRNA from 1 species
GACGAACGCUGGCGGCGUGCCUAACACAUGCAAGUCGAACGGAACUGUUUUGAAAGAUUUCUUCGGAAUGAAUUUGAUUUAGUUUAGUGGCGGACGGGUGAGUAACGCGUGAGUAACCUGCCUUCAAGAGGGGAAUAACAUUCUGAAAAGAAUGCUAAUACCGCAUGACAUAUCGGAACCACAUGGUUUUGAUAUCAAAGAUUUUAUCGCUUGAAGAUGGACUCGCGUCCGAUUAGUUAGUUGGUGAGGUAACGGCUCACCAAGACCGCGAUCGGUAGCCGGACUGAGGGGUUGAACGGCCACAUUGGGACUGAGACACGGCCCAGACUCCUACGGGAGGCAGCGGUGGGGGAUAUUGCGCAAUGGGGGCAACCCUGACGCAGCAACGCCGCGUGAAGGAUGAAGGUUUUCGGAUUGUAAACUUCUUUUAUUAAGGACGAAAAAUGACGGUACUUAAUGAAUAAGCUCCGGCUAACUACGUG